AAUAUUGGACAAUGGGCGAAAGCCUGAUCCAGCCAUGCCGCGUGUGUGAAGAAGGUCUUCGGAUUGUAAAGCACUUUAAGUUGGGAGGAAGGGCUUUAGGUUAAUACCCUGAAGUUUUGACGUUACCGACCGACUAAGCACCGGCUAACUUCGGUCCAGAAGCCGCGGUAAUACGAAGGGUGCAAUGGUUAAUCGGAAUUACUGGGCGUAAAGCGCGCGUAGGUGGUUUGUUAAGUUGGAAGUGAAAGCCCCGGGCUCAACCUGGGAACUGCUUUCAAAACUGGCAAGCUAGAGUAUGGCAGAGGGUGGUGGAAUUUCCUGUGUAGCGGUGAAAUGCGUAGAUAUAGGAAGGAACACCAGUGGCGAAGGCGACUACCUGGACUGAUACUGACACUGAGGUGCGAAAGCGUGGGGAGCAAAC
rnacentral:rRNA from 1 species